rnacentral:lncRNA from 1 species
UUCUCGUGGAUGCUAGUCAGAUUCGUUUGCACAGAGCCACGAUGGGAACUCCCUCUAUCCCAUUCUUGAGUGUGAUCCAGCUCUGAUCCUUUUGGGGCCGUGUCCACCUCAACAUUUUGGACCACAGCAUCACACAGAACAGUAAAUUCAGUUAAACAAUGAAUUUGAGGUAGUUUAUUAGCUUGUAAGAACUAGAAGCAGAAUAACUUUGAUUUCCUAUUUCCUCUAUAUAUCAUAAGCACAGCUUGAUUCAGGAGAGACCUCAGACUAAUGAAUGAUGGUGUGCUAAGAAGAAGGGAGGACAGGCCAGCUAGCACCCCAUGCAGAAAUCCGAUGUUUUGCAACUGUAACCUCAUUACAGACUUGUCUGGGGUUUGGCACAAGUGAAAGCCAAGAAUGGGACAUUUGAAACUAUUCCUAAUGAUCAGCAAGGGAGUUCAAAUGUGAAAAAUAGCUGCAUUGCUUGGAAAUCUUGAGGUCUUUCCUCUUCCAAUAUGAUGUAAGUAGUGUAUUGUUUUUUCAGCUGAAAGACAAUUUACAAAAAUGACUUACCAGCUAUUGAUAAAACAGAUUAUCUACUUGAUAAAAAAAUUUCCACAUCCCAUGUAGUUGGGUUUCAAAGAUAAAAGAAAAUCGGAUUUGUAUCAUCAAUUUCUAUUAAUGUGACAGUGUGACUUUGUGUUCUUUUAACACGUCUUACAAAUUUUGAUGUUAUAAUUUAUACUAGCUCAACUACCAAUAAAGAUUGUAAAUAUCCACUGCUAUAUACUGCCUUUUAGGUUGAUGUAGACUCAUAAGAUACAAAGGCAGUUCAUCAUUAUUUUAUCAUUAGUUAUCCUGUCAUUACCUACAAGGUCUCUUAAGUCUUAGAUAAUCAAAGUAAAUGUCACAGCGUAUGGCUGCCAUGGAGCCCAUGACUUGUCAUGUACUGCUGAGAAACCAUGUUCAAAGUUUGUAAUACAUUUCCCGAAGAUCACGGUACAUUUUAGAUAAUUUUUUUUUUUUUUCCGGCCACACUUGGCAGCAUGCAGUACUUCUCAGGCCAGGAAUUGAACCCGGGCCACAUCAGUGAUAAUGGCAGAUCCUUAACCCACUGAGCCACCAGGGAACUCCUAGAGGUAUUUCUUAGUCUUUCAGAAAGACUCUGAUUCCUGAGUGACAGUUAACCUGCUCAAUCCCAUUUGAAAAGACCCAGAUGUUUUGCCGAAGGUCCUACAAAGGAUAAUUGUGUGAUCAAACCCUGAGCUAGUGCCAUUGCUGCAGUAUGUGGUCUCUUGUUCUGUACUAGUGUCUUCCACCAGUGCUGAGAAGUGCCCUUUCCAUCUGUCACUUACCUAUGCCCAGAGGGCCUCCUGCUGCAUCUCAGCUGUGCAUCCAAAGCUAAAUGAUUGAUCAAUUCUAGAGACCCAUAAACCAUUAGAAGUUAGGGAUCAGAUUAAAGCAGAUUAUUUCUCUUCUGUUGCAGAAAUGACUUUGGAGGAAAAAAUCAUGUCAUCGUUUGUAGUUGUUACAAAUAUUUUUUAAAUUUAAAAUUCACUUAGAACUUUGUUUCCUUGUAAUUAGGAAAUUGUUGUAGAUGAAUAUAAAUGUAAUUUAUGUUACAUUAGGUAGUAAUGAAGUGACUCACUUUACUGUGAAACAGUAUUUUAUGAAUCAGAAACAAGAUGGCUUAAUUUGGAUGAAGGGACUCAGUUGAAGCUGAGAAACUCGGUUACGUGCCGAGUAGACUGACCCUUUGUGACUGACGCAGAGGUAAUCCAGCUGCAGAUAUUUCCUAUUUUAUCUGGCAAACAGAGUCAUAUUUUUCCUGCUGCUUAGUCUUGGGCUUUUCUUCCUCUGAUAGUUUGGGGUCAGGUCACUGCUCAGUUUUCUUUACUGAAAAAGGACACUUGUAGGGCAUGGACUUACAGUACAUGACCAUUUUAUGUUUCUCUGGAGACUUUCUAGGUUUUCCCUUUCUUAUGUCCGUCCACUUAACCCGUUAGUGAAGUAUACGCGUGCCCAAGUCAUGGCCUCAGCCUUCACCAAGUUGCUUUUGGGUGUUGAUUUUUGAGUUCUCAGGUUGCUUGUUUUCCCUGACUUACCUGGAUAGAAAGAUAGCUUAAUAUCAUUGGAAAAUAUAGCCCAAUAUGGUGGCUGUAUUUCCCAGUAUCAUUUAAGAAGCCCAAUAGGAAUUUCCGUCGUGGCUCAGUGGUUAAUGAAUCCAACUAGGAACUGUGAGGUUUCGGGUUCGAUCCCUGGCCUUGCUCAGUGGGUUAAGGAUCCGGCAUUGCUGUGAGCUGUGGUGUAGGUUGCAGAUGCAGUUCGGAUCUGGUGUUGCUGUGGCUCUUGCGUAGGCCGGCAGCUGUGGCUCUGAUUAGACCCCUAGCCUGGGAACCUCCAUAUGUGGCAGGUGUGGCCCUAGAAAAGGCAAAAAGACAAAAAGGAAAAAAAAAAAGGCCCAACAAAUGAGUCUGGGCUACAUCAGUUUCCCAUCCAGGGUUUCACUGGAGAGGACCAUACCUCAUUUCUUCCUGGUUUAUUACUGGUGUUCUUAAGAAGUCAUUGUGAAUCCAUUGCUCAGUGAGCUCCUUGAGGAUGGACCCUCGGUCUUAUUUGCCUGAAUCUCCAACAGUAUUUGCUGAAAGAAUCAGCUUUCCACAGCCAUAGAUACCUGUGGCUCUUGGCCCUCAGCCAGCAACUUUGUCUGCCAGGUGGAUGACAGCAUCAGUGGUUCCCAGCUCCAAAUCUCUGGUAGAUAUCAUCCUCUAAUUCCUGCCAGUAUUGCCUUUUCUCUUCCUUCCUCCUUCACCCUGCCCUGCCCCCCAACCCCCUUUCCGGCCAUGGUCUCACAGAGGUGGACCCGUGUGAUCAGCAGGGCAAGGCACCAGGACGGCAGACUUCCAGAGAGAGGUUGUGGGCUCCGAAUGUGGAGAGUGCUGUCAUCAGGAGUCUCUGAAGGGGUACACAUCCCCUGAGGCUGGGGACCGUCUGUGCACAUCUAGCCCAGAGCCUCCCAGCCCACUGAUGAAUCUCUGUGGGUGGGUUACAGCUGCACAUGGACAGAUACCCCCCCCUCACUUCUCAGGGCAGCUGAUGGGGACUGAGGUGGAGCUCCUGGGGUCCCCUUGCCCACUUCCCUAUGUCCAGCACAUUGUUUAUGUAUCAGGAGAGCACCUCAGAGCUGGUCCUACUGCUUUUAGCCAUCUCUCCUCCCCAUGGAGCCUGCCUGGCCUGAAGCCUUUCACGCAUUGGGCGCUCACUCAGUAUUCCUCAAAUGAAUUAAUCCAGUCCAAACCCUUUCUUACAGGCAGGAAAGCCUUUCUUUCACGGGUUGAGAGUUGCAGCGGCUCAGGGGCUGUGGCCUGCCUGUGCGGUGGUGGUGAAGGCAUGGCAGCCGGGCAUCCUCAGCAUCUGGUUCUUCGGGUCCUGGCUUCAGGUGGCUUCGCUCUCACUUGCAUCUGAUGUUUUCUAUGGAACAGGAAUGGACCUACUGCUGACAGAGCAACAGUGGAAGGAGACACAUUCUGGCGAGAGAGGGCAAGGCUCAGGACUUUGUGUAUCUAUUUCUAGAGUUGAAGCUCACACAGCCAGAAGACUGCCUCUGAUUUCCUACAAAACACCUCUUAAGAGUUCCAUCUUGGUCCCCACCGUGCUUUUUUGAAUAAUCUGGGCUGAAAGGAAAGAUUCCAGGGGUGCCCGUAUGAAUGGCAUUGCCAGCCUCGUGAGUGUAGCCAUGGGAAUUGCUCCCUGUCGGGCAGUGUGUGUGUUUGGCUCUGUGUAUUUACAAGGCGGGUUGAGUAACUGCAUGCGAAGGUGCCCGUGGCCUUCACACUCAGCUCUUUUUUCUUUCAGCUCUCAUUACAGGCAGCUAAGAGACUGAUACACUACCACCCUUUCAUCAUAUUUUAUGAUCCCUUAUAUUCAUGGUAUAUAUUUCCACUGAGGAUUAGAUGCUUGUGGAGGAGUAGAGGAACUUGGACAUUUUGUCUUAGAAUUAAAGUGGAAUUGAAAUAAAUAUCCUUGUAUCACAUAGCAACUAAUUAUUGUGUAUACUUUCGAAUAGAUGUUUCUUAUCCAGAGGUCUCUCAAAGUUUUUCUGUAAGGAAAACUUGCAGAUAAUCUGUAAAUUAAUUGCAGACAAAACAAUCAAUUUAUUGUAAAUACAUUGAUCUGGCAGAUACUUGUCUCUAGUAAAUAGAAAGUAAGACAUUGAGGUAGACGUGGUGGGCUGGAUGGAAAAUGUCAUGCUGUUGAUUUACCCUGAUUAAUCAGCCCUUGAGUACUGUUGGCUCAGAUAUACUAUCCACAGGACAUUUUGAAGUCCCAUGGUUAAAAUCACAGUGGACACGUCAGUAACAAGGUGGUCAUUUCUCUUCCAACUUCCUGUCAAACCCAAUGAAAGGCAUCACCCCCAUGUCCCCCUGCCCCCAACCCUGGCAGGUGUUUCUGGAGCAAGAGGCGUUGUAGGUUAGGGUCCCCCCCGCUGAUGUAAUACCAGUGGUGGGGACAUGGAAGUCCUGGGUCUCAAGCCUUCCUUUGUGGGGAGAGUGGGUCCCAGGAGGAAAGGGCCAGAUAACAGGCUUCAGUCUAUGACAAAUAAGGUGCACCAGGUGCCAAGGGCUGAGCCGGACAGAGCUGGUUGCAGAAACCUCCUUACCCUGGAGCCCCUUAAAGAAUGAGGAACACUGCCUUGCCUGGGCCUAGGAAGCAGCAAUUUUGCUGCAGCCUGUUGAGAACACACUCUUUUACUGGUUCCUGUUACAUCUGUCCUGCGUAUCUGCUUCAUAAUGCGUGACAAAUAUGUAUUGUCAUCCACCCCCAAGGGAUGUGUGUGUGUGUGUGUGUGUGUGUGUGUCUAAUAAUUUAAAGUAGGAAAGUAAAGGCUUAGGGAGUUCCCUGGUGGCCCGGUGUGUUAAGAAUCUGGUGGUGUCCUGCAACGGCUCAAUGCUGUGGUGCCAGUUUAGUCCUGACCCAGGAACUUCCUUGUGUUGAGGGCCC